ACCUUGGUGGAUCAAUUGGCAGAUCAUCCUUACCUAAUACAAUCGGAGCAAGCCGUACGUGGGAAGACGGAGGUUCGAAUCCUCCCGGAGGCA